AUUGAACGCUGGCGGCAGGCCUAACACAUGCAAGUCGAGCGGAGCGGCGAACGGGUGGGUAAUGCCUAGGGAUCUGCCUGGUAGUGGGGGAUAACGUACGGAGACGGGCGCUAAUACCGCAUACUAUCAGAUCACCCUAGGUCGGAUUAGCUAGUUGGUGGGGUAAAGGCCUACCAAGGCGACGAUCCGUAACUGGUCUGAGAGGAUGAUCAGUCACACUGGAACUGAGACACGGUCCAGACUCCUACGGGAGGCAGCAGUGGGGAAUAUUGGACAAUGGGCGAAAGUCUGAGCCAGCCAUGCCGCGUGUGUGAAGAAGGUUUUCGGAUCGUAAAGCACUUUAAGUUGGGAGGCGUUAUCAAAAGAAUAAGCAACGGCUAACUUCGUGCCAGCAGCCGCGGUAAUAC
rnacentral:rRNA from 1 species